rnacentral:lncRNA from 1 species
GAGCUCUCUCUCUCUCAGCUAUUAGAGGUUUUCUUUUCCCUGCAAACAACAAUAAAUUACAGUUAGAAUAUGUAUGAAUAGUAUAGAGAAAGCAUGUAGUACAAAUGCUUCCAUCCCCUUUUAUGUAAUUUAUCAUGGUUUUCUUUUCCAUUGAGCCCUGAGGUUGCUUCAAUAUUCUUCUUAACACAGGACUCCAAGCACCACUACCAAUUGAUCACAGUUAACAAUUCAAGAUGAAAGCAAUUUUCUUCUCUGGUUUAAAAUGGGAGGACUGGGCAGAGAGAAGUUAAGUGACCGCCCAGAGCAAGAGCUGGAAUCAGAGACUGCCCAGGCCCUCUACUCUCAUCCUUAACCACUGAGACAUCCUGGCUCUGUCACUCUGACUUCCUGCACACACCAGGCCUGCCAACUACUUUAACAGCCAGUGACAGACGAAUCAUUAUGAGCUGCUAUGUAGGGAAAAGAAAAUAUAAGCCAGAUUCUCAUCCUAUAUAACUCUAGGGGAACUUUAAAUUGCCAGAUGUCAAUCUGGAACCUUUCCUGAGUGCUAAGCUCUCAUGCACAGAUGGGAAAGCACGAUUCCCUAUAGAGGGUUGAACUUUAAGGAUAUACUCAAGGUAGACCUCAAGUCCAGAACACAGGAAUGGCACCUCGCUCUCCAUGGGUUGAAAGUGGCCCCUUGCUAGAUGUCUAUUAACAUUUCCAGAGUCCAAAUCUCAUCUCCUGAGAUGCUCUAUCCAGCUCAUUUGCCUACUCCAGUUUUCCAAGGUGAAUAUAAGAACAAAGAAUAUCCAAGGAGCAUCUGGACUCUUCAGACUUGAGAUUCAUAUGCAUUUCAUUUUCUCCAUAUUGGCAGCCCUUGCAAGGAAGACCCUGAUUGAGCUGAGGUUUCUCUGAGGAAGCUGUACCUGAUCC